rnacentral:lncRNA from 1 species
GAUCGCUGUCGGAAAACCUAUCAUAUUGGCCCUUCCAACAUCUACAGAAUUUGCCACGACUUCUGGAAAUGACAUCGAGAAAAAUGGAAUUGACUCAUACAACGUUGGUUGUUCCUCCGCUUCUGCCCCUAUCCCUUCGUUGUGCUGCAACAACGUCUCCCGAACAUCAUGCACAUCUACAUCUUCUUCGUCGUCGUCUCCAUUAUCAAAUGAUUCUGAAUUCAUGGGACUGUUCAACCCAAGGGAGUCUCCUAUAAGGUCAUCAUCUUC